GGAGCUGCAUACAGGAUAGACUCCGUGGCCCGUACUUGCACAACAUUCCCCACUCAGGGAAGGUUCGUUGAUCAGGAGAAUGUCUGUGUUCCAGGUGACGCUGUCACCCUGGGUCCCCUCUUCUAUGGGCACAACCAGGACACCCUCCAUGGGACAACGUACUCCACCAACAGCACCACCCCCGACGGCAGGCACCAGAACGUCAUUGCUGUCGUCUCAAAAGAUUGUAUACCAAUAAUCAGCACCAGGAUCACCAGUGGCAACGGCGAAGGUGGAAACUCUCUUUACGUUCUGGCGUACAACAAUGUCUUCCCCGGUGUCAAAGACGUCUCUCUGUUGGAAAUACCGUCCUACUGCUAUGCGUAAUUAUGACAUUGCUGAUGAGAAAAGGAUGUGCCCUGUCAAGUCACCGUGAAAAUGUGAAUCUUGCAAGAUAUUCAUUAAAGCAACUUGAAUGUAAAA